CCGGCACCCAUGACGGUCUGCCUGAAAACCAGCCUGCUGGUGGGGCAGACCCGAGAACCCGGCGUG
rfam:Felis catus isolate Cinnamon breed Abyssinian chromosome A2, whole genome shotgun sequence.